rnacentral:lncRNA from 1 species
AACUGUGAGAGUCUGUGAAUCCUAGGCAGCUGCGUUAACUGUUGCAGCGGCAACGUCUUUCUAGUCUGUCUGUCUGUCAGUAACUAUGUGCUGGGUUCUGCUGCAUGUCUGCGGUUGACCACUGGAAGGAGGUGCAGAAGCUGCAGUAACAGCCGUGAUUCCAGCAAGCUCUUGUCUUCAGGCGACUGUCUUGACUUCCUGUCUUGGCCUUCAUGAUGAACUCAACCCAUUCCUCCCCAAGUAGUUUCUGGUUGCUGUUUGAAGACAGCAACAAAGAGGCAAAGAAGGAUACCAGAUGAGAGCUACUACCUCAGGCCCAAGACCACUGUCCUUUUCAAGGCCUUCGCAGUUAAAGGAGAGUUCCCCCCAUCCGCAAGCCCUUCUUGAGCAGCUCUUACAAACUAUAUGCUUAUGCUGAGCACCUGCUUUCCUUAGUGGAGUCUGACAUUGCCAGGCAGAAGCUAGCUAGGCAACCAGCUCCCUAUAAAUCCCUCGGGCACCGAGUCUCUAGGGCACCUCCAUGAUAAACAACUUUGCACAAGUGUCAAAACUCAUUUCUGUAAGAAUUAAGCCUGUUUUGUGUGACUCUGCUGGGUGAGGCCUCUUGGAAGUGUCUGCCCGGCUCUCCAUACUCCUUUAUGUUUUAAAAACCAACAUAACAUUUGUAUUGAUUAUUUGGGAAGCUUAUACAAUGCGUGCUGAUCACACUCAUUUCCCAUUCCUUCCAGGUUUACCCUCUCACCCUUGGGCCCUCCCCCGAAUCAAACAAACAAACAAACAAACACACAAACAAACAAAAAGCCCCACCAGUUCCAGUUUGUGUUGCCCAUGUACUCACUGGAGCAUGGUCAAAUUCUCUGUGGCCAGCCCUUGGCAUAACUGCAUCCUUCACCACACUGCCCGAAGCAGUGAAGACCUACAUAUACUUCAGCAACCCUGUCACAUUUGUAAGGGCCCUCUCUGCAAUGGCUUCCUGUCUAGACUGUUUCGGUUUUUGGAAAGGGGGGUGUGUCACAAAAAAAAUCCUUCAAUGUCUUUUAUUCUCAACCAUGAGUCUGAAGUCAUCGAUGGCACUGAUGUUGCCUCCUGCUCUUCCUCAGACUGUAUCCUUAGCUUUUGGAGACCCCCUUGUCAGUUGAUGAUCCUGGUGGUUAGAGGGAUGCUUGGCAGACUGGUCCACCAGUCUGACUUGCCUCAAUUGGUCUGCAAGUUGCUAGGUGCAGGCAUUGGGCAUCUUUGCAUCUCAUGACUUGCCUCUUGCUGAGCCUUCAUUUUCUCAUCAAAAAUGGAUAAUUUGACUCCUAUACAUACCUACUUCAUGGCGAAUUGGGAGGUUUUUAUUAAAGAUAUAUUAGCAAGCAUCAUCAACGCUGAAAGCAAGUGUUGUGAUUAGUGAAACCAACUGCGAGUCAGCACACCCCCACUCUGCCUUGGAUAGGGUAAAUAUCGAAUCUGUUUCCGCUGGAUGGAUGAAAACUGUGUAAGUCAUUUCAUUUUCUGUCAUACUGUGUCCUGCCUCUCUGCUGGGAUGCCUGGGUGCUGCCAGCUUGCUGGCCGUGGGUGGCAGGGCAAGGUCCCAAACCAGGGUCCACAGUGAUUUCCAGUCUCUGCUUUGGGUACCCGAGUGCCACCCGCAUAACAUUGAGAAAGGAAGUCGAGAACCGGAGGUCAGAGGUCAACUUUCCUCUCGCAGUGUCAGCGUGCUAGGUGGGGAGAGAAAAGGCAGAGCCCAGCACAACUGGAAUCGGGUCUGAUGGGAAGUGAGUAGGGAGAGUACAGAAGCAGCUGGAGGAGAGAAAGCUUUACUCGUGAGUUCUAGGUGCGGCUCUUUAACGAAGGCCUUCCCCGUGAUCAUCCUUAAUAAAACAGCUCUCUGAGACGACA